rnacentral:rRNA from 1 species
AACGAACGCUGGCGGCAUGCCUAACACAUGCAAGUCGAACGAGACCUUCGGGUCUAGUGGCGCACGGGUGCGUAACGCGUGGGAACCUGCCCUUAGGUUCGGAAUAACUCCCCGAAAGGGGUGCUAAUACCGGAUAAUGUCUUCGGACCAAAGAUUUAUCGCCUUUGGAUGGGCCCGCGUUGGAUUAGCUAGUUGGUAGGGUAAAAGCCUACCAAGGCGACGAUCCAUAGCUGGUCUGAGAGGAUGAUCAGCCACACUGGGACUGCGACACGGCCCAGACUCCUACGGGAGGCAGCAAUGGGGAAAAUUGGACAAUGGGCGAAAGCCUGAUCCAGCAAUGCCGCGUGAGUGAUGAAGGCCUUAGGGUUGUAAAGCUCUUUUACCCGGGAUGAUAAUGACAGUACCGGGAGAAUAAGCUCCGGCUAACUCCGUG